UGAAGGGCAGAGGCUCUGACAAGAGGUUAGCUGCAUCCGGGGUGAAGUGGAAGCCGCUGCAGGGUUUUCAGCAGAGAAAUGACAGGUUUGAUGUGUGCUUUAAAGAAACAUGUCCUUGGCUGCUUGGUGGAGAGAUAAAGAGAAGAAACAGGGAGACCACGAGAGGACGAUGACAGCUUCGACUGGGGCUGUGGCGGCAGAGGAGCUAUGAAGGGAGUACCUCCUCUGUGCCAGGCACAGUUCUAAGCCUGGAAAGUUGACAAGGACCACGAAAGAACCGGACGACAUAUCUUCCUGGGGGAAUGCACAGUUUCGUGGGGGAUAUGCUCCAGGAGGAGAGUAGAAGGGCAGGGGACAGGCACGAACACUCCUUUUAUCUUUCGUGACUGGCACAAGCCCUGUGGAAACCAGACACUCAGAAAGGAUUUGAUGACAACCAUGAACAAAAUCAACAGGGAUUCUGGAUGUCUUUCUAAGGAAGAACCCGCAGAAUUUACCAAUGGACUGGCUGUGAGAGAAAGGAGACGCAGAGGCCACUCCAAGACUUCUGGUCUGGCAACAGGACGAAUGGAGUCAUCAUUUCCUAACACGGGGACCACUGCCCACGCGCAAGUGGCCACGUCAACCGGCACCUGGGCCUGAAGUCUGGGGAGAGACCUGGGUGAGGAUGUAAACCUGGGCUUCAGCAGCAACUACUUAAAACAUAUUUAAAAUCCUGGGAUGGAUGAGAUCACCUAGGGAGUACGGACAGAGAAGGGACCAGACCCAAGAACUGAGCUCGGGACACGCCAAUGUUCUGGGAAGAGGAGGAGGAAUCUACAGAGAAGACUGAGAAGGAACAGCCAGGGGAGUGGGGGAAGAUCCUGAAUAAGUCGCAGCUAAUAUUAUGAAUGCUAACUUUAAGGCGAAACCCAACAAAGCCCCUACUUCAAAAUUCUGUUUGACAGUCCUCACGUCUCUGUAGUUGAACAAAAUGGAGGAAUAACGGACGCCCUAUAAAAUAAGCAUGAUCACCGAGCAGUCACCUUACAAGCAGACACAGAGACAGUCACCGUGAAAUUUUAACUACGCAUAUUGAAAAACACAGUUCAAGAACGAGGAGAAAAAGGACGGUGAGAAUGCUCAUCUAUGUUUAAGAAACAGGCCCCACAUUAUUGCAAAGGGUUUUUGAACAAAGACAUUUUUCUUAUGUUCACAAUGUUUAUGAUCAACAGUCAACAUGGUUAUUAAGCCAUGAACAAGCCCCAUACAAUUUCAUGAUCUUCAACAAAUGUCUAGCAGAAAUCACUGCCAUCCCCCCCCUCCACGCCCUGCCCCCAUCCUGGCCGUCUGAGCUCACCAGCGGCUGGCCCGGCUCCAAGGAUUAAGUAACCAGGUGAUCUCCACAACAACCCCACGAGAGAGCUCCAUUUUACACGGGGAGGAAAUGACGCCACAGAGACAUUCAGUGACGACCCAACAUCACAUGGCUAGAAUUGGCCAAGCAAGGAACUGAACCCUAGCCGUCUGGCUCUAGGUCUGCUUAGGAGCUGGGUUGAUUAUGAUGGUGAUGAGAAUGACAUCAAUCACUACCCCUGUAACUAUAUACAGCACCAUCAGUUAAAUUAAUUUUAAUUAAAAUUCAAUAUAAUUUACAUAAUUAAUAAUACUAUAGACCAUAUUGGUAUAAACUCAUGCUCAUCUUUUAAUUCAAUUGCCAACCGAAAUGGAUUGCGUAUGUCACUUUUAUUAGAAUCGAGCAACUCUUUUGUCUCAAUGAACAGACACAAUGAAAAGAUUAAAUGGAGGAAAAAUCAACUGCAUAGAUUGGGAUUAGGGAACAAAGUAAAAUACCAAGAUAAACUGCUUUUAAAAUCAGCUGAAGAUUUAAUGCAGCUCUGGAAAGUUUCGAUUAUUUGCACGCUUGGUCUAUGCCAUGUAAAUCUGGGCUAAUGAGACUCAAUUGCUGUGUAUAAAUCUGAAGCAGGACAACCCGACUGUCUAAAGAAAAUAGCAGCUUGGACUCCUGUGUUAAUAACUCUUCAGAACAAAGAUUACGAUUCGGGAAGAGUAACAUCAUUUUUGCUUCACAUUAUUGAUUGCAGGGGGUAUUGAGAGAAAUGGCUCCAUUUGGUCAAAUAUAAGCUCUGAGACAAGUGCCAGGGCGUCAAAGAAUCUACUGACCAGUAUUACUGUUCUUCUAAUAACAAGACCAACAAUGACAAUUUAUUUAUUUAUAAUUUUAUUUAUUUAUUUAUUUUUGGCUGCAUUAGGUCUUUGCUGCUGCACGCAGGCUUUCUCUAGUUGCAGUGCGCAGGCUUCUCAUUGCAGUGGCUUCUCUUGUUGCAGAGCACGGGCUCUACGCGCACGGGCUUCAGUAGUUGUGGCACGUGGACUCAGUAGUUGUGGCUCGCAGGCUCUAGAGCACAGGCUCAGUAGUUGUGGCACACGGGCUUAGUUGCUCCGCGGCAUGUGGGAUCUUCCCAGACCAGGGCUCGAACACGUGUCCCCUGCAUUGGCAGGUGGAUUCUUAACCACUGUGCCACCAGGGAAGCCCAACAACAACAAUUUACAUUGUCUCUUUGCCCUAUGGAAAUUAUGAAGCACCAAGAGAACGCUUCUCCUUUGUAAAGUCCCCCGUGUCUAGUACCAAGGGCUAUGCAGUGCUACGCACGGGGGUGGAUCACCAUAGAUCCUCACAGGUACCUGGCCGGGUGGCGCACUUCCCCUUAGGCUCUUCAUAAAGGUUUUGUGCACAGUGGUACAUGAUUAUAGGUACUGUUAAAUGCAUCUUAAAGCAAAGUGAUCCACUUAAGAUCAGUCCAGGACACUGCUGCACUCUUUUUAACACAGGCAUAAACAGGACUUCAGGAGCACAAAGGAUGGAACUAUCUCAGCCUGAAGAAGUGAGGGUGGGCUUCUUGAAAGGUAACAUUAGACCCCAAUCUCAAAGAAGGCGCAGCAGUUUUGCCAGAAGGGGCAGGAGCUGGACAAGGACACCACAGAGGGCAAAGCAGGCACAAAGCACAGAAGCAAACGGGCACGGAGUGUUUGGGGAAUCUUGUGGCUUCUAAGGAGCCCCUGGAAACGAGGAGGUAUUGAGGGUGGAGAGCCACUGGCAUUUAGCAUUCUGGGGUCAGGGAUGCUAAUCCUUCUGCAAGACACCACCAGCUCCAUACAAGGAGAGACUGUCCCAUUCAAAAUGCCAGGAGUGCCUCCACUGAGAAACACGAGAGGGUACCCAGGUGGUGGUGGGAGGUAGUAAGAGGGGAAGAGGUUGGAAAGGAAAACUGAGGCCGGGUUCUAAAGACUGCCCACAUACACCUCCCUAAGGAGGAGGGCUUUACCCUGCAAGCAAAGGAGUAGGAGACUGGCUUGGGGAGACCUGUCCUUUGGAAUGAGCACUAAAUAUGGAAGAUGGAGUGGAGGCAGAGCGUCCAGAAACAAGGAGGCCAGGGGAUCAGCUAGGUGGCUGCAGCAAGAAUUCCGGCAACAGA